GAUGAAGAACGUAGCGAAAUGCGAUAAGUAGUGUGAAUUGCAGAAUUCAGUGAAUCAUCGAAUCUUUGAACGCACAUUGCGCCCCUCGGUAUUCCGUGGGGCAUGCCUGUUCGAGCGUCAUUUAACCCCUCAAGCCUAGCUUGGUAUUGGGUGCUUGUCCCGCCUCUCGCGCGGCGACUCGCCUCAAAGUCAUUGGCAGCCCGCAUCUCGCCGGCCGUGAGCGCAGCACAGACGCGCUCUUGGCAACGACGGAUCGGCUCUCCAAAAGCUUAUUUCAACCACUGACCUCGGAUCAGGUAGGGAUACCCGCUGAACUUAAGCAUAUCAAUAAGCGGAGGA
rnacentral:misc_RNA from 1 species